rnacentral:rRNA from 1 species
AACGAACGCUGGCGGCAGGCCUAACACAUGCAAGUCGAACGCUCCGCAAGGAGAGUGGCAGACGGGUGAGUAACACGUGGGAAUCUUCCUAUCGGUACGGAAUAGCUCAGGGAAACUUGAGGUAAUACCGCAUACGCCCUUCGGGGGAAAGAUUUAUCGCCGAUAGAUGAGCCCGCGUCUGAUUAGCUAGUUGGUGGGGUAAUGGCCUACCAAGGCGACGAUCAGUAGCUGGUCUGAGAGGAUGACCAGCCACACUGGGACUGAGACACGGCCCAGACUCCUACGGGAGGCAGCAGUGGGGAAUAUUGGACAAUGGGCGCAAGCCUGAUCCAGCCAUGCCGCGUGAGUGACGAAGGUCUUCGGAUUGUAAAGCUCUUUUGCCAGGGACGAUAAUGACGGUACCUGGAGAAUAAGCCCCGGCUAACUUCGUGCCAGCCGCCGCCGUAAAAC